rnacentral:tRNA from 1 species
GCAUUGGUUAUUCAGUGUAGAAUUCUUACUUUCCAUGUGGGAGACCCAGGUUUGAUUCCCAACCAAUGCA